rnacentral:rRNA from 1 species
UACGGAAGGCAGCAGUGGGGAAUAUUGCACAAUGGGCGAAAGCCUGAUGCAGCUAUGCCGCGUGUAUGAAGAAGGCCUUAGGGUUGUAAAGUACUUUCAUCGGGGAGGAAAAAACAAAACUAAUAAUUUUAUUUCUUGACGUUACCCGAAAAAGAAGCACCGGCUAACUCCGUGCCAGCAGCCGCGGUAAUACGGAGGGUGCUAGCGUUAAUCAGAAUUACUGGGCGUAAAGAGCACGUAGGUGGUUUUUUUAAGUCAGAUGUGAAAUCCCCUGGGCUUAACCUGGAACUGCAUUUUGAAACUGAAAUACUAGAGUAUCGUAGAGGGAGGUAGAAUUCUAGGUGUAGCGGUGAAAUGCGUAGAUAUCUGGAGGAAUACCUGUGGCGAAAGCGGCCUCCUAAAUGAAUACUGACACUGAGGUGCGAAAGCGUGGGGAGCAAACAGGGAUUAGAUACC